GACCAGACUCCUACGGGAGGCAGCAGUGGGGAAUAUUGCACAAUGGGGGAAACCCUGAUGCAGCGACGCCGCGUGAGCGAUGAAGUAUUUCGGUAUGUAAAGCUCUAUCAGCAGGGAAGAAAAUGACGGUACCUGACUAAGAAGCCCCGGCUAACUACGUGCCAGCAGCCGCGGUAAUACGUAGGGGGCAAGCGUUAUCCGGAUUUACUGGGUGUAAAGGGAGCGUAGACGGACUUGCAAGUCUGAUGUGAAAAUCCGGGGCCAACCCCGGAACUGCAUUGGAAACUGUAUAUCUAGAGUGUCGGAGAGGCAAGUGGAAUUCCUGGUGUAGCGGUGAAAUGCGUAGAUAUCAGGAGGAACACCAGUGGCGAAGGCGGCCUGCUGGACGACAACUGACGGUGAGGCGCGAAAGCGUGGGGAGCAAACAGGAUUAGAUACCCGCGUAAA
rnacentral:rRNA from 1 species